AGUGUGUGAGGGUUGACACCAUCAGUUGGCUCUCUCUAUUUGUGUUUGAGUUUAAGGAAAAAGAGAUACUUUUGUUUCAGGGCUUUUGGUUUGUGUGUGAGGGGGAAAAUCAAAACUAUUUUAUUUCACUUACCCCUUAUUGGAAAAUGACUCCCACCUAUCCUUAUUUUGGAUCGUUUCCAGGCACAACUGCUCAAUCUGCCGUGUGACUGCCAGGUGGCCAGCUUCAAUUUCAGACAGUUCAUGAGAUCAGCCAUAUUCUGAGGACUGAGGAGGAAUGAUUUCUACAAAUGAGCAGCAAAAGUUUUUCCAGAUCAUGAAUGUAAUAGUCAUUUUAUAGAAAUGUUACCUACUUUAAACACUUAACUGCAAUUAUGUUCAAGCUUUCCCUACAAAACUUUACUGAUUUUCUUUUGCUGAUAUAAAUGUAUUUUACUACAAAACCCAAGUGGUUGAUGUUUCACAUUUUGUCUUCCAGAAGAAGUUUAACUCACCUAAUGAUUUCAUUAGGUUAUUUGACAUUGAUGAUAUUCAUAUGUACAGUGCUUCACAAAUUUAUUAGACCACCACCCAAAGUCAGGUUUAUGCCACAGCUGCCCUAA